CAGAGGGUGGAUUGUUCAGGAAGUCUUCCUGGGGGUAAAAGUGGGUAGGAGCCAGUAAGAUUUAUUAUUGAAUUAUGGUUUUAACUAAUAAUAUUUCUCCGAGAAUAUCUCUAAAACAUAAUUUUCAAGGAAAAUGCAGUGUCAUAUUUCUUCAAUAGCCAUUAUCCUCGGAAGAUUAGCCCUGAGCUAACAUCUGUGCCCAUCUUCCUCUGCUUUAUAUGUGGGACGCCUACCACAGCAUGGCUUGCCACGUGGUGCCACGUCUGCACCUGGGAUGUGAACUGGCGAACCCCAGGCCACUGCAGCAGAACAUGUGCACUUAACCACUGCGCAACCGGGCCAGCCCCACCAAACGUUUUUUGAUGAAAAUCAUGUAAAAUAGAACUUAUCAGAAUUGUUUGUAGGGCACAGACCUUUGUAGGGCAGUACUACAAACAGUGAGUGUAUAAGUAGACAGUGCUGCACAUUCACACAGCCCUGCUGUCAGUGAUAAACACACUCGACCACACUUGAGGACAGACUGAAUUAUUAUUCCAUUAUAUGUAGAGAAAAUGAUACUGGAACAUCAUCGUCACCUGAAAGGCUCUCAAAGGGUAUACUACCAAAAAUAUGAGAAAAAAGUAUUGUAGAGGUAUUCCAGGCAGUUAAUGGAAAAAUAUAUGGUUAUUCCAGACCUUGUGAUCUUUGUAAUAUUAGUCAACCUUUUAAAAUUGGCAAUUUGCAUGGUUUAUUUUUUCAUUCACUUUUGUAUCUGAUUUUUAUUCUUAAUUUUAAAUCAUUUUUCUUUAAAGAGGACCCCCAAAGUUGUAAAAAUCUUCAGAUACCUCAGAACCUGGAUUUGUCCCUGAGCGCCAACUCUGUGUCAGAUGCGUGCUCUUUCUUAGAGAUACAAUGAUGCUUCAGACCAAGUACUUUUCCUCAGGGAAACAGAUGAGCAAAGCGAGUAUGACAGGGGAAAUCUUUCUAGGGGCACAUAUACAAGAUGGCCCCCCAUUUUUGUCUAGAAGUUUCCAAGAAGGCUCAUAGAGGAGAUAACUGUCAGUUUGCUCUUCCUCUCCAUCUCUUGUGACCACCGUGACUUCCACAAAAAGACUGUAAUUCAGUAGCUUAUUUGAUAUGUGAGAAAACCUGAAGUUCAUCACACUGUAACUCCCAAAGCAUAAGCACUAUGCUCCUCAGAAGUAUGAGAACAGACUCAAAGUGCUGAUCCCCCAAGCAUUUCAACAAGGAUGCAAGUGUAGUUUAGAAAAUGCUAAGCUUUUUGUUCUGAAAAGUCCACCAGAGGGAUGAACUUCUGUAUAUAUCCUAGAGCACCGUACUUACUAUGUGGCAGGUGGCCCAGGAAUAUUAAGACAGCUGUCAACAUCAAGGAAAGCAUCAGCCCAUGAAAAGCAAGCAGAUGGAUUGGGGCACUUCACUAGCUGCCUCCUAGAAUAAUAGCUGUGUGAGGCCAAAUGAGGUAUUGUCAGGCUGCCCAGGGCAGCAAAAAGCUAUUACUGGAUAUAAGCGCUCAAGUAGGAGAGGGGGCGGGGAAUAUCCUCCCCUUUCCUUUGUUUGUAUAGCUCAAGUUUUCACUAAGAACCACAAUGGUAAAUAAGAAAGGGGGUAAAAAUGAUGUAAGCA
ensembl:lncRNA